GAUGAAGAACGUAGCGAAAUGCGAUAAGUAAUGUGAAUUGCAGAAUUCAGUGAAUCAUCGAAUCUUUGAACGCAUCUUGCGCUCCUUGGUAUUCUGAGGAGCAUGCCUGUUUGAGUGUCAUUAAAUUCUCAACUACACUGACUUUGAAUUGGUGUGGCUUGGAUUUGGGGGGAAAAUUGUUUUGGGCUUUUUGUAUAGUCUGCUCCCCUGAAAUUGAUUAGCGGUACCUUUGUGGAACUGUCUACAGGUGUGAUAAUUAUCUACAUCUUAGACAUCUGCUGGAAUGCUGCUUUCUAAACCUUACUUGUAUUGACAAUCUUGACCUCAAAUCAGGUAGGACUACCCGCUGAACUUAAGCAUAUCAAUAAGCGGAGGA
rnacentral:misc_RNA from 1 species